rnacentral:lncRNA from 1 species
GCGGGGGCUGUGGUGCUGUUGCCCUUUUAAGCUGCGGCUUGACAGGAGCAGCGCCUCCUGUCGGUGGAGUCUGUUAGAAGGGGAGCAGCCGCCCAGGCCUCCACACAGCUCCCCGCAGAGGCCUUGGUGCCCCUUGCCAUUUUCCAGCCCUACUGUGACUAGAGUUGAGGCAGCAGGGAGAGGCGGAGCUGGGAGAGCACCGCCGAGAGGUCCCGCGGGUGGUUGCGGCCGUCACAGCGGCUCCCGACGGGCUCACCUUCGCGCCCCACCUGCCAGAGUCAGGUUUUCCUUGUUCCCGCAUGUUCAGCCAAUCGUGUUUAAGGAGAAACUAACAAUGAAAACGGACUCGUUGAUGGAGGAAAAGUUGGAAUGCAGCCUCUGGUGCUGUUUGAGCGAUCCCUCUAUCCCGGGUCGCUGCUGUGUUCUGGAAAGGCGCAUUGUACCCUGGAUGCAGCAGGAAUCCUAUUCAUCUUCUUCACCGAUAAGGUCUGUGGACUCUGAUGAGCCAAAUCUGACAUCAGUUCUGGAACGUCUAGAAGAUACUAAGGAC